rnacentral:rRNA from 1 species
AGUGAACGCUGGCGGUAGGCCUAACACAUGCAAGUCGAACGGCAGCACAGUAAGAGCUUGCUCUUACGGGUGGCGAGUGGCGGACGGGUGAGGUAUACAUCGGAAUCUACUUUUUCGUGGGGGAUAACGUAGGGAAACUUACGCUAAUACCGCAUACGACCUACGGGUGAAAGCAGGGGAUCUUCGGACCUUGCGCGAUUGAAUGAGCCGAUGUCGGAUUAGCUAGUUGGCGGGGUAAAGGCCCACCAAGGCGACGAUCCGUAGCUGGUCUGAGGGGAUCAUCAGCCACAUUGUAACUGAGACACGGUCCAGACUCCUACGGGAGGCAGCGGUGGGGAAUAUUGGACGAGGGGCGCGAGCCUGAUCCUGCCAUACCGCGUGGGUGAAGAAGGCCUUCUGGUUGUAGAGCCCUUUUGUUGGGAGAGUAGAACAGCAGGUUAAUACCCCACUGUUCUGACGGUACCCAAAGAAUAAGCACCGGCUAACUUCGUG